rnacentral:rRNA from 1 species
UACGGGGGGGGCAAGCGUUGUUCGGAAUUACUGGGCGUAAAGGGCUCGUAGGCGGCCAACUAAGUCAGACGUGAAAUCCCCAGGCUUAACCUGGGAACUGCGUCUGAUACUGGAUGGCUUGAAUUCGGGAGAGGGAUGCAGAAUUCCAGGUGUAGCGGUGAAAUGCGCAGAUAUCAGGAGGAACACCGGUGGCGAAGGCGGUUCUCUGGGCAUUACCUGACGCUGAGGAGCGAAAGUGUGGGGAGCGAACAGG